UACAGAGGUGGCAAGCGUUGUUCGGAAUCACUGGGCGUAAAGCGCACGUAGGCGGACUUGUCAGUCAGGGGUGAAAUCCCGGGGCUCAACCUCGGAACUGCCUCUGAUACAGCAAGUCUUGAGUCCGGAAGAGGUGGGUGGAAUUCCUAGUGUAGAGGUGAAAUUCGUAGAUAUUAGGAAGAACACCGGUGGCGAAGGCGGCCCACUGGUCCGGUACUGACGCUGAGGUGCGAAAGCGUGGGGAGCAAACAGG
rnacentral:rRNA from 1 species